UACGUAGGUGGCAAGCGUUGUCCGGAUUUACUGGGCGUAAAGAGCGCGCAGGCGGUCGUGCAAGUCGCGUGUGAAAGCCCCCGGCUCAACUGGGGAGGGUCACGCGAUACUGCUCGACUCGAAGGCAGGAGAGGGAAGUGGAAUUCCCGGUGUAGUGGUGAAAUGCGUAGAUAUCGGGAGGAACACCAGUGGCGAAGGCGACUUCCUGGCCUGUUCUUGACGCUGAGGCGCGAAAGCUAGGGUAGCAAACGGGG
rnacentral:rRNA from 1 species